rnacentral:misc_RNA from 1 species
UCAAACUUGGUCAUUUAGAGGAAGUAAAAGUCGUAACAAGGUUUCCGUAGGUGAACCUGCGGAAGGAUCAUUAAUGGUUUUUUGCUUGAAGGGCUGUUGCUGGCCACAUUACCGUGGGGCAAGUGCACGCCUGGGAUUGUCUGUUGGCGUUGUUAUCCACACAACUCACAUGUGCACAACUGUAGCGCGAGCUCGCUACGUUUGUUCGUUCAAUAAAACGUGCAUGAAUACAUAUAUAUGACUUUUGGGGAAUCAGACAUGAUGUCGUAACAACUUUCAGCAACGGAUCUCUUGGCUCUCGCAUCGAUGAAGAACGCAGC